rnacentral:tRNA from 1 species
AGAAGACUAGUUUAAAUAAACAUGAAGCUUCGACCUUCAAAUUCUUAGUAAAAUCUAAGGUCAUCUU